rnacentral:ribozyme from 1 species
GGUUUCUGCCAUCAAGCGAUGGAUCGAAAUUAUGAUUUCUCAACAAGCAUCAGGUGUUUCUCCUCGGGGCAGCAAAGAUACGGAGAAAAAAAUAGUCAAUUAAUAGUUAUGUUGAUUUUUUUUUUUUUUUUUUUUUUUUCAUCAAAAAGAUGCGAAAUGGAACAUUUGCGA